GGUGGAUCGGGCUUAACUAAGAAGUAUGGUCAAUAACUGUUAGAUGAGCCCACAUGACUUAGAAAUCAAGUCACUGCAACAUACUUAGAGAAGCAUCUAAACAAAGAGUUAUCCAUACAUCAGUGUGCGUGUUAUCAAUAACUGUUAGGUGAGGUACAUGACAUCGGUGGAACUGCAGUAUCCAUUAGGAAUCCAGUUAUCGCAUCAGGAUUUUUAUUUUCCACCCG
rnacentral:lncRNA from 1 species